GACGAACGCUGGCGGCGUGCCUAACACAUGCAAGUCGAACGGAAAGGCCCUGCUUUUGUGGGGUGCUCGAGUGGCGAACGGGUGAGUAACACGUGAGUAACCUGCCCUUGACUUUGGGAUAACUUCAGGAAACUGGGGCUAAUACCGGAUAGGAGCUCCUGCUGCAUGGUGGGGGUUGGAAAGUUUCGGCGGUUGGGGAUGGACUCGCGGCUUAUCGGCUUGUUGGUGGGGUAGUGGCUUACCAAGGCUUUGACGGGUAGCCGGCCUGAGAGGGGGACCGGGCACAUUAGGACUGCGGUAGGGACCAGACUCCUACGGGAGGCAGCGGUGGAGAGUAUUACAGAAUGGGGGGAAGCCUGAUGCGACGACGCCGCGUGCGGGAUGACGGGCUUCGGGUUGUAAACCGCUGUCGCCUGUGACGAGGCGUGAGUGACGGUAAUGGGUAAAGAAGCACCGGCUAACUACGUG
rnacentral:rRNA from 1 species